GCAGGUCCAGUUUGCUGAACCACAGGGGUUCUUCCAUCUACUCGAUUUUAUCGUUUGCAAGCUCAUUCCAAAGACGUCAUUCGAAUCAGCGAGUUCACUUCUCCAAGUCUAUGCUCGGCUCCGGGUCAGCUGGAAGGCGCUUCUCCAGGUCCAGGCCCGGUUCCGGGUCCGAGCGAGGCUGCUUCUCCAGGUCUAGGCUCAUCAUUUCCGGGUCCGAACGAGGCUGCUUCUCCAGAUCUAGGCUCGGUUCCUGGUCCGGGUGAGGCUGCUUCUCGAGGUCUAGGUUUGAUUCCGGGUCCAAACGUAGCCGCUUGGGCUCCCGGUCGCCUAGGUGCA
rnacentral:lncRNA from 1 species